GAAAUUCAAUAUUUAACCUUAAUUUCUAUCUGGUAUAAUGUAUAUCACCUAGUGUAAACUUUGUCUUUGCAGUGUUUUUCCAUCGCAGAGAGGUAUUCGUGUACCCAGACGAUGACAAAAACAUGAAGUUGGUGAAGGUCUCGAUAAGAAAGCUGAGAUAACUUUGGACUUUGUUUGGCCUAGAGAUAAAUCUAUUGGAACUCAAUUUAAGAGCCCUGAGAAGUUGAAGGCAAUAAGAUGGCAAGACAAGAUAGGGGAGAAUUCUCUUAAAGUCAGUACCAAGUUUAUUGACUACAGACCUGAGACAGGAUCUUGUGUGUUUGAGGUGAAAUAUUUCUCAAAGUAUAGUCUAGUUGAUGACUCAGAUGAGGAAGAUGUACCGGAAAAGGACAAGAAACGUUUACCGAUGAUGAAGAUAUGGAUGUCCAAGGCAAAGAACCAUCUUCACUUUGCUUAGCAACAAGUGUGGGAGUUGAUGCAGGUCAUGAAAUCUUCAUUGGUUGGUGAUGAGGAUGCCCCAGCUCUAGCAUUUGACGGUUCAAUGUUUGCAAAGAAACAAGGGCCACUGACUGGUUUACCAUUACUGAGGCACAGAGAUGGACCCAGUCUGUUCAGUUCUAGUCUAAAAUCUAAAUACAUGUCACCAGUCAAAAUGGCUAAUAUACCACAGAAAGAGACAAAAAAAGACAGAGCUGGCAUUUAAGCCAAGUGUUGCAGAGUCUCUCGUACAAUCACCUGUCAGCGUACCACAGAGGAAAUCUACACAGUCAUGAACUUUGCUGCUCAUCUACAGUCUCUCAAUCUCUGGGAAUGGGCAGUAUUUUUGGCAUUGCAUAUCAGUUGUGAUUCAGCUGUACAAAGUUUACUCGAUCGGCACAUUCAGCUUUCAUCAUCAGAGUCGUACCUAGAGAAGGAAGAAUUAUUGAAUGAAAGGCUGUUGGUACCUGUUGAAUGGAUACAUAAUGCUAAGUGCAGAGAAGAGCGGAAGUUCAGCAGAAAUUCCACCCCCAAGGAGAUUAGCCCCACCCACAUUAUCCCAUCAUCCACCAAGAAGAGGAUGUGGAAAUUUGUUAUCGUCUAAGCCCAUUGAACAGUUCAAUCAAACAUACACUUGAUGGUGAGCUGCAAUAAAACCAAAUAAACUGAUCUCAUGUUGACAGAAUAUAACAUUGCUGAACAAUUUAGACUCUGAUAUUCCUAUGUGGUCCAAUUAUUGAAAUUAGUAAGGGAGAUUAUUCAAAUUUAGACUAUAAAAUAAAAAGGUGUGUUUUAGAUAAAGAGUUUUGUCCCUUAAAUACUCCUUCACCAGUUGGACUAGACAAAAUGGAGGAAGACAAUUUUAUUGGGCAGACAAGAAAUUCUGACAUACAGACACCGAAAGGAACUCAUCAAAACUCAUAGGGAAUUUUCAGCGGAAAAAAUGCCAAGGGAAUGACCUGUGUUCAUACUGUACAAUCAGUUCUUCUAGAUUACAGCAAAGGCUUCAGUUCUUGCAUUUCCUUGUCCCAGAUGAAGAUGGUUAACAUUACAGAGACUUUAUUGAGGAUGCUGUAUUUAAGAGAGGAGAACAAUUAUACAUGUGGUAACAGUGUUGAAGAUUUUGGGCUUGUAACAAAACAGAGUCUGCCUUAUUCCUUAGAAAUUGAACUUACAUAUGAUGGACAAGGGGUCAGAUCGUGCCCACCACCAUGCUGUAUUUACUGUGGAGACAACACCUGCUUGAGGAUAUUGAUCUGUAAAUCACAAAACUCUAUGAAAACGUUUCAAGUGUACAUCCAUUAGUGUAACAACUUGUUUAGAAAAUUGUCAAGAUAACCUGGAGUCGUUAAUUCUUCAGAAAAAAGAAAAAUGAUGUGAAACCUGUGAUAUGCAAGCGCUGUUCAGAAAACAAAUGAAUGUUGUGCAAAAACAUGCUCUAGUGGACUUGAUCAACAUUCUAACAUUACUUAUAUAUUCAGUAUUGUGGAAAUUGCUUUAACUUUUGUACGUAAAACAUUUGAAUGAAAUCAGUUAAGGUAAUUUAUUCUAAUUUGAAUUAUUGUUCAGAUAUAAAAUUUUCAAAGCAGUUUUUGUUUUUAAUUUUUCAGUUCAUUUUGUUAUAUAAUACAUGUUAGCCAUGCUAUUUUAAAAAGUGUUUGUUUGCAGAGCUACAACUGAUCUUUCAAGUUGGCUUGGCCCAAAUCUUUUUGAUAGUUAUUCAAGUGUUCAUUUAUAACAUGUUUUUCCAUGAAUUUUGAAA
rnacentral:lncRNA from 1 species